CGGUGGACUUGUUCUCACAGUCUAAGACUGCGUUUGCGGGGGGUGGGUUUAAGCUCUAAGCAAAGCACAUCGAUCUGUUUGGUAAACUAAGAAAGGACCUGCUUUGCUUCGGCUUUUUCAGAGCAAAAGCAGAAGCUCGACAAAACCAAUUAAAUAAAGGGAACGAAAUUCACCAAAAACAACCAAACUGAGGAAGCCUAAGCAAGUGAAACUCUGGCCAAUAGGAGAAGAAGUCUAGCAGCGUAGCAAGUGAAGUCUAAAUUUGUUAUACAGGUUCUUUGCAUAUUACCUGGAGGCUUGACAUAACAAUUGGGGGACUUUGAGAUUUCAAACCGCUGAGCUUCUCUCUAUUUUGCAUCAAUAUCAGAAAGUUACGUACUUUCUUUUGGUUUUUUGAUGGAGAGUGGAUUGCGAUAUUCUGAACAUAAGUACUACGAUUCUCUCAUGGAUUUGAACAGUGAGGAAGGAUCUAGCAAUGGAAGUUCAGAUGCAGAUAUGGAAGACACCGAUUUUACAAAAGAGGAAGAUCGAUAUGCAGGAUUUCACAUUAUUCAGAGGGAAGCCAUAUCAGGAUUUGACAUUAGAUGAUUUGAAGGAAGUUGAGUUUAAUACGAUUGAGGAGGUCAACAGAUUCUACAAUUACUACGGUGAAGGGUAUAUGAUACAAUUACUACAAUUUUUGCUGGGUAUGAUAUAAGUGAAAAUGAAGAUUCUAACCCAAACUGUACCAGAGUUCCUAAUUUCUUUCAACAUUUCAGGCCCUUCCCCAACGAUGAGGGCUACGAUGGUGCAUCACACAGUGAUGACAAUUAAUAUUUUGACUCCAGGCAUCUAUUCUUGAGAGUUUAAGGUUUCUGCUAAAUCACAUCCAUUUUGCAAAUGGCAACUUCAAAUCAGCACUAGAGGAUAAAAGAAAGGGAUAUUUUGAGCAAGUGUGGUGUGAACUUUUGAGAUGAGGGAAGCAUUGAAUCUUCACCAAUUUCAGCAGCAACUACUCUAAUCAACACAUCAAGUAUACAAAAAUCACAAAAGAGAAAAGUUGCAAGCGUCAAAGGACUACUCUAAUCAACCCAUGCAAUCAUCAAAGGACUGCCAAUGUACCUCAGCUAGUAUAAAACUUGCUCAGAAUUUAUGUUUCUGCCAAAUGUGUUUUAUUAUGACUCGGGCACUUGAAAGUGUCUUGCCAAGGCAACUCCAGCAUUAACAG